AGAAGCAUAAUGUGGAUCUUUAGGAGUUAUGGAUUGAAAAUCUUCCAGAUUGAGUUAUACAGGGUUGUAGACCCUACCAUCGAACUAUGAUCGAUUCUUGACUGAUGGUCAAUGAGUCUCAAACUAUUUUAGAAUGUCCUUGAGGAUGUAUUUUAUGUGAAUUACGUAUUCUAUUGAUAAGAGUUCUGAGAUGGGAUUCAAUAAUUGUUCUAGGCGCCAGUCAUUCGGGAUGCCUCGAUGCACGUGCUAGAGAAUCAUAACGUGGACUCCAGGUUCUAGUAGCAAGGUUCCGUAUCGACGAGGACUUUUAUCACUCCCAAUUCUGGUGGCUCCUUGUGAUGGGAAUCAGCACAGAGGGGAAGAUACAUUUUAUAAUACUUUGGAGAAUAGAACGAUCAGAUUGUUAGGCACGUAUAAGAAAUCUGUCCGCAACAAAGCUCGACCUGAAUGCUUUGUUGUGGAAGCGCACAUGGCAUACGAAUCUUCAACAUUUUGCUAUGUAUUUAUGUGAUGUUGAGACGGAAUUCACUUGACCAGAAAGAAACAAUGAUGGUGAUGGUACCAAUGCACUCCUUUCAUUUUUUGCUCAGAAAGCACGUCCAAUUGGAGGUCAUGUAAUGGUUGAACUUUCGAGGAAAGAUAUAUAAUGGCUUAUUGGUAUAUCUUAGACAAUUGUGUUGAAAUUGAAGACUU